GACGAACCGUCCAAACGUUAUUCGGAAUCACUGGGCUUACAGAGUUCGUAGGCGGUCUGGAAAGUUGGGUGUGAAAUCCCUCGGCUCAACCGAGGAACUGCGCUUGAAACUACCAGACUCGAGGGAGAUAGAGGAAAGCGGAACUGAUGGUGGAGCGGUGAAAUGCGUUGAUAUCAUCAGGAACACCGGUGGCGAAGGCGGCUUUCUGGGUCUUACCUGACGCUGAGGAACGAAAGCCAGGGGAGCGAACAGG
rnacentral:rRNA from 1 species